AGAGUUUGAUCCUGGCUCAGGAUGAACGCUAGCGACAGGCCUAACACAUGCAAGUCGAGGGGUAACAGGGAAGCUUGCUUCCGCUGACGACCGGCGCACGGGUGCGUAACGCGUAUGAAACCUACCUUAUACUGGGGGAUAGCCCGAAGAAAUUCGGAUUAAUACCCCAUAAUAUAGUUGAUUGGCAUCGAUUGGCUAUUAAAACUCCGGUGGUAUAAGAUGGUCAUGCGUGACAUUAGCUAGUUGGUGAGGUAACGGCUCACCAAGGCAACGAUGUCUAGGGGUUCUGAGAGGAAGGUCCCCCACACUGGUACUGAGACACGGACCAGACUCCUACGGGAGGCAGCAGUGAGGAAUAUUGGUCAAUGGGCGCAAGCCUGAACCAGCCGUGUCGCGUGAAGGAAGAAGGUUCUAUGGAUUGUAAACUUCUUUUAUACGGGAAGAAUGUUCACUACGAGUAGUGAUUCGACGGUACCGUAUGAAUAAGCACCGGCUAACUCCGUGCCAGCAGCCGCGGUAAUACGGAGGGUGCAAGCGUUAUCCGGAUUCAUUGGGUUUAAAGGGUGCGUAGGCGGAAUAGUAAGUCAGGGGUGAAAGUUUGCGGCUCAACCGUAAAAUUGCCUUUGAUACUGUUAUUCUUGAGUACAUUUGAGGUAGGCGGAAUGUAGUGUGUAGCGGUGAAAUGCUUAGAUAUACUACAGAACACCAAUUGCGAAGGCAGCUUACUAAACUGUAACUGACGCUGAUGCACGAAAGCGUGGGGAUCGAACAGGAUUAGAUACCCUGGUAGUCCACGCCGUAAACGAUGAUUACUAGUUGUUUGCAAUAGAUCGUAAGCGACAAAGCGAAAGCAUUAAGUAAUCCACCUGGGGAGUACGUUGGCAACAAUGAAACUCAAAGGAAUUGACGGGGGCCCGCACAAGCGGAGGAACAUGUGGUUUAAUUCGAUGAUACGCGAGGAACCUUACCUGGACUUAAAUGUAGAUUGACAGGCUUAGAGAUAGGCUUUUCUUCGGACAAUUUACAAGGUGCUGCAUGGUUGUCGUCAGCUCGUGCCGUGAGGUGUCGGGUUAAGUCCCAUAACGAGCGCAACCCACGUUGUUAGUUACCAGCACAUAAUGGUGGGCACUCUAACAAGACUGCCGGUGUAAACCGCGAGGAAGGUGUGGAUGACGUCAAAUCAGCACGGCCCUUACGUCCAGGGCUACACACGUGUUACAAUGGUCGGUACAGAGGGCCGCUACAGGGUGACCUGAUGCCAAUCUCCAAAACCGAUCUCAGUUCGGAUCGAAGUCUGCAACCCGACUUCGUGAAGCUGGAUUCGCUAGUAAUCGCAUAUCAGCCAUGAUGCGGUGAAUACGUUCCCGGGCCUUGUACACACCGCCCGUCAAACCAUG
rnacentral:rRNA from 1 species